rnacentral:rRNA from 1 species
UCAAGAUGAGAUUUCCCAUUCGUAAGAAGUAAGAUCCCUCAGAGACGAUGAGGUAGAUAGGUCUGAGGUGGAAGCGUAGCGAUACGUGGAGCUGACAGAUACUAAUCGAUCGAGGACUUAACCAAAA